rnacentral:rRNA from 1 species
UACGUACGAGGCGAGCGUUUAUCCGGAAUUACUGGGCGUAAAGCGUGCGCAGGCGGUUUGUUAAGUCCGUUGUGAAAGCCCCGAGCUCAACUUGGGAAUUGCAGUGGAUACUGGCAGGCUGGAGUACGGUAGAGGAAGGUGGAAUUCCCGGUGUAGCAGUGAAAUGCGUAGAUAUCGGGAGGACACCUGUGGCGAAAGCGGCUCACUGGACCACAACUGACGCUGAGGCGCGAAAGCUAGGGGAGCAAACAGG